GACCCUUCCAUCCUGCCGCGUCUCCGUACGGCGCCGCAAAGGGCCCAACUUUUCGACGCGGUCUGUGGUCGUGUUCCCAGCGACUUGUAGAGAAGGGGGCAUCUGUCAAGUUCCGCGGGGUCAAACGCGAGUUUCGGGUCGAGAGAAGCGUCGGCAGCCGCGACACUCGGACGGACGCAACGCCGACACGCGCUCCCGAUAGUGGCGGACGGCACCGCGGUUCUGGCCGCUGCGACGCACUGCAACCAUGUAAACAACUGUUGGCUUGAAGAAAGGAAACUGCAACGUUAGCCACGUGAAUGAAUAUGUACAGAGAAUUAAACUGUUUUGAUUUGUUUUUUAAAUUGCGUUUUAUCCACGUAUGAGGAUUUAAUAACGUCUUUCUCCUUAUGAGUAGUUUCAUGCCUGCGUGUGACCUUACUCGCAGGUCGGAGAGUUGAACAGGACGGCGAGUUAAACUUUCAGGGUUUCGUUUUGUUUUUGUUUUUUUUUUUUAGUGAAAAACGUUCAACUCAAACUCAGUUUCGAUUUGAGCUGAAACAGUUAUUCGAUCGGUCGGAAGUGUAAUCGGCAGCUAAUUUUGACAGUUGAUUAAUCGAUAAAGCGGUGAAAACAUUCCGCAAUCUCUCUCCUCCCCGCCGCUGCUUCUCUUCGUCACAAAUCAUAGUAAACUGAAGACCUUUGGGCUCUGAACUUUCUUUAUUUUUAUUUUUUAGACAAAACGGGAUUUGAAGACGUCACCUUGGGCCAAUUUUAAUACACGAUUCUUGUCACAUCUGUGAAGUCUGCUCAAACUAAGGGUCCAGCGCGGGAGAGACCGGCCACUAGAUGGCGCCCAACAGCAGGGAGGCAGAAGUUGAGGUCACCGGUCCGACUGAGCGAAACCCGUUUGUCAGUCGUUCGCUGUAAUAAACUUUAAAAUAAUUGCCGAGAGGUUAUUGUGAGCUCAUGUUUAAAGUCUGGUCCUAGUGAUUAGAGACGGGAUCACUUUGCACCGCUACAACAUGACGUACGAUUUUACAACUACUGUCACACAUCUGAUGCAUUACAUGCGUGUUUUUUUUUUCUCUUGUUGUAAGACAUACUGAGCAACACCCACAUGAACGUGUGAAGAUCAUGCAGGUGCCACAGAUGAUGCGAAUUGACGUCCGAUGACGUGUUUGAACUUUGUAUGAUCAAAUCUUGUCUUGACUGAUGUUUCAUUGAGUGUAAGCUUCAGUGAAAACAGUAAAUUUACUCAUAAUUAUGAGAUUUUUUACUUUUUAAAGACUCGACCAAACGUUGUCAAAAAUUCUCACUGGAAUUUUGACCUCAGAUUAAAAGUCUUUGUU